AAGGAAAAACGGAAUCCUGCACAUUGUCGAAAGUUUUGUUUAGUUUUGAGAGGUCUACUCUCAAUUCGUUCUUUGAAAACUAGAUAAUAUUAAUUUUCUGUAAUAAUUUUUUUGAAAUUGUAUUUUAUAUAAUUUCAACCGAGAACACCGCGUUAUUUUGAGUUUGUUAACUAAAAAAAAUCGCAAAUACUCAAUUAACUUUGCAUUACGUAGUGAUGUACA
rnacentral:misc_RNA from 1 species